GAGACAGCAGCCGCCGCGGGAAUACGAAGGGUGCAAGCGUUAAUCGGAAUUACUGGGCGUAAAGCGUGCGUAGGCGGUGAGUUAAGUCUGCUGUGAAAUCCCCGGGCUCAACCUGGGAAUGGCAGUGGAUACUGGCUCGCUAGAGUGUGUCAGAGGAUGGUGGAAUUCCCGGUGUAGCGGUGAAAUGCGUAGAGAUCGGGAGGAACAUCAGUGGCGAAGGCGGCCAUCUGGGACAACACUGACGCUGAGGCACGAAAGCGUGGGGAGCAAACAGGAUUAGAUACCCCAGUAGUCCCUGUCUCUUAUAC
rnacentral:rRNA from 1 species